ACGUAGGGGGCAAGCGUUGUCCGGAUUUAUUGGGCGUAAAGAGCGUGUAGGCGGCCUGAAAGGUCAGCUGUGAAAACUCGAGGCUCAACCUCGAGACGUCGGUUGAAACCAUCUGGCUAGAGUCCGGAAGAGGAGUGUGGAAUUCCCGGUGUAGCGGUGAAAUGCGCAGAUAUCGGGAAGAACACCCGUGGCGAAGGCGGCACUCUGGGACGGUACUGACGCUGAGACGCGAAAGCGUGGGGAGCGAACAGGA
rnacentral:rRNA from 1 species